CCAACUUAAAAAAAAAAAAAUCACCACCACACAUAAUAGGAAAAUUACCAUGUUAACACAGAGUAACUGUUCUGAAAACUGUAUUUAACAACUUAAUUUUUUCUUUUCAAUGGCAGCUCACAUGGCACCCAAAAAAGCUCUAGAUUAUGUUCUGGCACUACCCUCCAUGCUUGUUCUCUGCUUAGCAAGGGCAGGGAUGAAAAACUAUCCAUGGGAUGUUUCAGCAGAUCUACUCAUCUUUUCAAGCAUGAGGAAAUGGCAGCAGCACCUUUUUCACCAGGAAAGCCAUUGGAAAAACAGCUUGCAGAAGACAAAAAAGGAACAGAAAGUUGCAUAUGCUGUAAGAGGAGACUCCAUCCCAACCCUGCAGCAAGUCACAGCAUGUCAGACCAUCAGGCUCAUCUGCUGUUUCUGUGGAAUUAUGCUGUUUAAAUUUCCCCUUACCUUACAGUGGUGUUCAAACAAGGCAGUCCUCUGUGACCCAGAGCAUGUUAGUGACUGCUGCAUCUCUGUCAUUGGAAGUAAUUGCCAUUCUUUCUUCAGUAAACCCAAAUUGCUCUCCGUGUCCAGGCCUUUGCUGUGCAGUACAGACUCAUUUUCUGCAUUGUGAGUAUAUAAUCCUCCAAGCUGGCAGCAGUGUGAUUGCUCUGUUAAUUAUGUACAAUCAGUCCUACUGUCAAUCCACCAUAAAAAUAUAGACCUCUGUUUGCUCCAGAGUGGUGUAAUUCAAGGAAAUGGAAAUUUGCUGUAUACAAAGUGUGAAUGCAUGUCUCCUAGACAGUAGCUAAAUAGAUCUGUGCAUGUAAGGGUAUGUAAACUCUUAGAAGGGUACGUAUACACACUCACAUAUUAAUAAUUUCUGUUUACCCAGAAGUAGUGUGACAAAAACUGCAGCAAAUCAUUCCCUGCAGCUUUAAAUUUCAUUCAUUUUGCUGUGCUCCAUGGUAUCUCAAUUAACUCUAGAUUCAGAGGUAGUUCAUUCUUCUACUUGCAGUGUUACCAGGGAGAGACAUCUCUCAGAAGCAUCUCAUUGCCUAAAACAUUUUACUGCUCUUAACUAUGAGCAUUGACUUGUCUGGACAAUCUGUAAAAUGAAUAUUUCUUUUGUGGUUGCCCUACAAAAUGAAGGAAUUCUUGACGAAACUAACGAAAGAAUAAUUUUCCUGACAUUUUCAAACAAGUAAUAAUUAAAAUGCUGAUGUUUAAUCCAUCUGAAAUUGAAGAAAAAUCGAAAAUCUCACAAUAGUUUUCAAACAGAAAUCCAAAUAAAAAAUUAAUUGGUCUUGUGAAAACA
rnacentral:lncRNA from 1 species